UAGACAGCGUGAUUCUUGAGAAGUCCACCAUGAAAACAUUGACAAGUCUGUUGCUUUUGAUCUGUCUGUGAUCUAAAAGCUGUUUCUUUUUUUCACAGGAUGGCCUAUUUGCUUAAAGUUCUUUGUUUGUGUAGCUAAUGAGGGCUCUUUGAUGGUGUUAUAGUCUACUGGAAGUCUGGAAGCCCAGUUCAUCAUAUGAGUUGCUUUGGAGAUGUUGCAAGACGCCUUCAGGAAACCGCUCUAGAUGAAGCCACUAAAGGGAAACAAUACAUCCACUCUUGCCUUAGUAGAAAGCAGUACGGUGAAGGGCUGAAGGCAGACUGUUGUUCCACGGGUUCUGCGUUUUUGGGAGGCAAAAAAUGUGAAGAAGGGAGGUGAGCUGAUGGGCGUCGACAUGGACUUGGUUGAUGAAAAGUCCUCCAUUAGUGCCCGUCGACUCAACACGUUCCACCACCUCCUAAGAGAGGGUGCGAUGUAACAAUUAGCAACCAAACUUUAAAGUCUCAGACUCCCUCAUUGCUAUACACGGAGCAAACAAAAUUCAUUAAAAUAGUAGCAACCAUCAACCAUGUUCCUGAUGAGAUGUUUAGGUUCCUUGCUUAUGACCAGCGGCUCAUGCUUGCACACAUUUAAUACCGAUUUACCAGCUGUGGUUAGUGAAGUGAGGGGGCAUCAAAGGGAUUUUCAACAAUGAGACAAAAGACCACAAAAUGCAUAACUUGCAUCUUGACAGGUGUAUACAUAUGAAGUACUACGUAAGCGUUAAAUCACUAGAAGCUGAGUUUAGUUAUUUGUGAUCAAUGAUUGAUUGUUUGUUCACUUUUCUCACACAGAAGCGAAACAACUGUUUGCAUGAGUGUUUUGACAACUUAGUCUAAAGUUGCUACUAAUAUCAGUUUAAAGUUAAUGGAGGUAAUAAAUUUUUAAAGAACUAAUCAACAAUUUAAAUUGUUUAGUUUGUCGUACAAACUCGACUUUAAGCAUCAUUUUUAUUAUAAGUUUAUAGGCUUUAUUAUAUUUAGAUGAUUCAAUGGAUCAUGAGGAAUGUGAGAGAUUGGUGACAAAUGUACACAUUGAUUGAUAUGCAAUAUAUAUACGAUUGUGGUUUACUCCCUUCAUACUUUGGGUUUAUUAUGCUUUAAUGUCUUCUUUUCCUAAAAGUUACAUCUAUGACAUUUUUAUAUCAACAAAGACUGUACCUAACCAAAACAUCCUUGAGUACGUAUUACAUAUUUAUGUCUCAAAUUUUUUAAGCAGCCUAUUAUCAUUCUAACGUCCCUGGCCGUUUACCAUUUAUUUUCAUUAGGAAGUGCAUCAAUAAGAAGGGCCUCAAGUUGUUCUACAACCAAAUAUGGGGGUGUCCAGGAAUUUUGUUGUCUAACCAUGGCUGACUUAAUGCACACGUACUAAAUUCAUAGCCGCAGAGAGCGCAUUAGAACUCAUCCCAUGCUUUGUAAGUCAUUUACGUGUCCCUGCCUAUAUUUUGUUAAUCUACAUGGAGAUAAUAACCAUCCUGGUGAUGACAUGCUUGCAGCUGGAGCGGUGAAAAUUAACCCCUGCUGAUGGGUUUAUAAUUGGAUCCCCUGAGAAAACAGCUGAGGGAGAUGAUGUUGGAAUACUUGACGGAAGUGCUGCUGAGUCUGCUCUUCCACAUGUUGAACCUGUCUCAGGUGGAGUGGAUGAAGGGAAGAAGCCACACAUUUUUUAACUUCACUGCCUACGAAGAACCUAACUUCAAAUUGGAAAAUCUCAACUCUAUCGCAUUUCUGCUUUUAAUGUUUUCACUUUCACUUUGUCUAUUGUUUCCUGAAUUUAAACCCCUUCUACCGGCUGUUUCUUUAAUCUUUCCUUAAGGUUGUCGUAGUAACAAGGAAAAAUAAUUCGUUUGAUCUUUAACAUAUACUCUGACUCUAUGUAGUGGAAUAACAAAAUUUAGGAGAAGCGAUAGGCUGGCUCCUCCAUGGAAAACGUCGUACACGUACUGGGAAAUACCAGCAAUUUUUUUCUAAAAAAAACUGUAACAUUGGUUGUUAUGAGAUGUCACUGAGAUUUUUUGUAAGAGUGCAGCUAACACUGUAGCAUUGAUGUAUGUAGUUUAACAAGUAAGCUAUAGUUAUGUCGCUCGCAAUUCCAGCACAAAAUUGUGAACAUACUUUUUAAUAGAACCGUAUAAUCUGGAAACUGAAAUCCAUCACAAGCUCGCGAUAAUUUAAUCAAUCAUAACAGUAAACUUAAAUGAAAUAAUAUGGAAAAAGAAGUCCAAGUCUUAAUUUACAAUAUACACAUACUAAAAAAAAAUGCAGCACAAUAAUCAUGGAUUCAGUGCCUGACUGGUUCAAACGCAGCGGUUGCGGGUGGUUGCGGUUUCUAAUGGUUUUAAGAGAUUUGUACGACUGGUUCUGCGGUUAGAAAUUGUUACGUUUGCUGGAUAUUUACGACUGGUUAACUACCAAAUGCAGCAGCGGUUAAAUAAUAAAUUAACAAUAUUUACAUUUUAUAUAAUUAUAAAAAUAUCAAAAAUCAUAAUAUUAUAAUAAAUAUAAAAACUAUAUUUAGAAAUUUAUAGUUUUAAAUUUUUAAAAAUUAUAGAAAAUAUUUUUAUUUUUAUAAUUCCAAUUUAA